rnacentral:rRNA from 1 species
UACGAGAGGCCCAAACGUUAUUCGGAAUUACUGGGCUUAAAGAGUUCGUAGGCGGCAUUGCAAGUAGGGUGUGAAAGCCCUCGGCUCAACCGAGGAAUUGCGCUCUAAACUGCAGUGCUCGAGGAACCUAGAGGUGAGCAGAACAGAUGGUGGAGCGGUGAAAUGCGUAGAUAUCGGGAGGAACACCAGUGGCGAAGGCGACUUCCUGGCCUGUUCUUGACGCUGAGGCGCGAAAGCUAGGGGAGCAAACGGG